CCUGGAUGUGGGUCGCCUUCCCUACCUUCGGGCAGGGUGAUUAUGCAUAAAUAAGUUUGUUUUGAAUUACUUUUAUAGCAGAUUUGUGGUUGUGGAAAGAAGGUUUUCUCGAUCUGCUUAUAGAGCUUUGUCUCNUUCUUUGCCUGAGUUUUUGCAGUGCAUGGGCUACCAAAGGGUCUCUUUUGGCUUGUCUGGGUCUUCUAGCUGCAUGCGGGGGAUGGUAUUGGCAAUGACUUUGAUCUGAC
rnacentral:misc_RNA from 1 species